AAGUCGUAACAAGGUUUCCGUAGGUGAACCUGCGGAAGGAUCAUUACAGAAUAAACUUGAUAAGUUGUAGCUGGCUCCAUUCGAGCAUGUGCACACUUGUCAUCUUUAUCUUUCCACCAUGUGCACUACGCAUAGGUUCUGAUGAAGUUUUUAAUCAAGGGUUUCUAAAAUCCUUGGUUAUCUUGGAAACUGCUGUUGGCAACAACGGCUUUUUCUGUUUCUCAGUUCCUAUGACUUAUAAAAUACACCAUAUAUGUUAACGAACGUUUAAAUGGGCGCUUGUAGCCUAUAUAUUAUAAUACAACUUUCAGCAACGGAUCUCUUGGCUCUC
rnacentral:misc_RNA from 1 species